rnacentral:lncRNA from 1 species
UCCCCUGAUUCACUGAAUGGCCUUCGGCCCUCUGGUCACUGGGCUGGGCCUGUCUUCCACUGUUGGUCCGGAUAUGAAUUCUUGGUGCCACAAGGCGGGCCAGACUAACCUACCGAACAGCCCAGCCUCAAAGGGCACGAUUGUUCCAUUGGCACUUGGCAGUUCACUUUGGUUGGGUGAAGAGAACAUCUACUUAUAAGAAACCAGAGUUAACAUGCUAGACCGAAACAAGACAAACAUAUCCAUAACUACUUCAAGUUAAUUGGGCAAAGACUUUAACUGACAUUAAUUGGCAGCCCGCAGAAUUCCAAUCACGAGUGGAGUUUUGAAUAGAUUCUCUCUUCCACAUUUGAGAUCCUGAGUCACGUGAUAAGUCAUAUAUGGAGCACAUAGGAACACAAGGCUUUGGGUGUCCACUCAGUGCAAUUCCUCGUCGCCUGUAUAUCUGAUGAUACCUCCUGGGCGUAAUGCAUGUGAUAUAACCUGGCCUGCAACAAGGCCAGAUACAGCACAGGACUCACAUGAUUCGGCCCCAGCUUGGUUUAUUUUCCACGUUCAUGAUUUUAAGCCCAAGCCCAAAAAGUUAGGUAAUCGGACGGCUCAAGCCAGGUUGGAUCAGGGAUAAUUGGAAUCCAGUUUUUC